GGACAACAUAUUCUGCCUAUAAAUUGGGGUUGGUCCUCACUUAAUUGUAUCAUCAAGAAAAAGAACCAACUAAAGAGUUCAAAGAUGGCAAAGUCUGUUGCUGGAAUCCGUCCCACAGUUGCUAUCCUAAUUGCUUUCCUUCUCAUUGUUUCCUUGGUGGUGCCAACGGCAGAAGGAGUAAUAUGCCCGCUGGAGUCGAAGCGUAGCAAGACAUGGUCAGGGGUUUGUGUCAAAUCCAAGAACUGUGACAAACAAUGCAAGACAUGGGAACGUGCAAAGCACGGUGCCUGCCAUGCAACUUAUCGCAACGUUCUCGGUGUGAAGGUCUUUAAAGGGUUUGCAUGCUUCUGCUACUUUUGUAAAAAACAUUAAUAAUUAGGUCAAGCAAGCAAGUUUAUGUUUUGGCUAGGCAUGCAUGCAUGCAGGAAAUAAAGAGGUUUUGCUGCUGCCUCGUUCUAUGCUUGUGGAUCGUGUACUUUUCUGUUUGGAAGCUCAAAAAUAAAGGCUCUCGCAGUUCUGCUGGAUCGGCGAGAACCCACACGUGUUGUUUAAUCAUGUAACUCAUGUUUGUACUGCUUUAAAUUUGUACCCUCCCCUUGUUGUUUACAAUAAAAUAUAUAUGUUUGUUUCCAAUAUGAGUCAAUGGUGAUCCAAACUGUUCAAAUUGUGAGGCCCAUUUCGUAUUGUAAUAUGUAGUGUAUGUGUACCUAAACGUCGAUACGAUCCAAUAAUAAAAAUCGUUCAUCUGUUAA